AUGACAGACAUCAUACCUUCAUUUCUCCCUCCAAUGCAUGCCACCAGGUACGUCAAGAGGCUGCAGGAGAGACCUACGCCACCAGCAGAGCCACAGGCAGGAAAGGUGGUCAAUCCACGCCGGCCAACUGCUGAGGAGGAGCCACCACAGAUGCUGGAGAGGACAUCUCCACCUACUCCAGUGGUGCAGCUCCCAACUCCGAGGUUUUGGGGAGCUUUUGAAGACCUAUUUCCCGUUACCCUUCACGGGAAGCCUCCGACAAAGGUGCAGGCAGCAGAGGCAGGAUUUGAGGACCGCAGCUACUACCACUACUGGAGGAGGCUUCAGUACAAGCUGCGGGUACAGUAUACUCUUGAGCAAUCCACUGACAGGACUGGCCAAAAACCCCCAGCGUCUCGUGUCCAGCGUGCCAUUGCCAAGGAGACCAGGUGGACCACUAAUGUGCCAUCCAUGGGCAGUGUUCUGCUGGCGUGGGUGCCCUGCCAGGAACCGUCCCCUGUCGCAAAUGACCCUCUCCUCAUUGCUUCCGUGGUCCAUCAGAAGUGGAAAGGGCUGGCCAUUAAGCACUUCGAGGGGAAAGGCAAAGGUGUGACUACCCACAUUUGUAAUUAUUUGGAGGAACAGGGAGAGGGAAGCUGUUUGCUCAAAAGCAUGUUCAUUUACCUUUGUGCAGGGGUCAUCGCCACCAUGGAGUUCCAGAGGAACCAGGUCGUGUGUGACUACCACGGUGAAGUGGUCUCCAAGCGGGAAGGGGAGCGGAGGCUGGAGACCCUCACCGGGGAGCCGUCUUACCUGUUUUUCUUCAAGGGCAAGGGUGGCAAGCCUCUCUGCAUCGAUGCCCAGAAGUUCCCCUGUGACUGCCACCCAGACAAAGAAACUUUUGGGAGGAGGAUGAAUCAUUCCCGAAGGAGAAAUAAUGUGCGGCGUCAGAUAGUUUCCUUAAACUGUCCUAAUGGACCCAGGGAAUGUGUUCUGUUCUUCGCUCUACGGGACAUUGCCGUCAAUGAGGAACUCCUGUGGGACUAUGGCUUUCAUAGAGCAUCAUUCAGAGGGGAAGGGAGAGGUCUUCCAUGGCUUGAUGACUGACGUGGUCUCAAAGAUGUGAUCAUGUAGUUAUAUAUAUAUAAUUUUUUUUCUAUGUGUUCGUUUAAAUAUUGUACCAAAAUUAAGACAAAAAAUUAGCUCUGUGUACAUAGUUAUCCGGUU
rnacentral:lncRNA from 1 species